UUGUUACUCCCUUCGUUCGAAAAAGCUUGUCCCUGAAAUGGAUGUAUCUAGCAUUAAGUUAGUGUUAGAUACAUCCAUCUGAGAGACAAGAUUGGGACAAGUUUUUUCGGAUAGAGGAAGUAUUAU
rfam:Triticum aestivum genome assembly, contig: Triticum_aestivum_CS42_TGACv1_scaffold_130555_2BL